rnacentral:lncRNA from 1 species
UUGGAGCUGCGGAGGAGUUUUGGCACGAGUUGGUGAUUGUUCGUGGCCAUCUCCCGGUGAUUGUGAGAGGUUUGUGCCUACCUCGGUGGAGAGCCAAAGGCAACAUUAGUGGAUUGCUCGUGUCAUUGAGCUACCUCACUUGUGGGUAGGUUCUUGUGGUGUCCUAGUGAGGACGAGGUUCGUGCUACACCUCUUAGCCACCGAACCACCAAGUGUUGG